UAUAAUAGGUUUAAUGUUAUUUUUUGUGUGUAGUAUUAUUAAUAGAAGUAAUUUUAUGGUUUAUUGUUUUAGUAUAAUUUAUAGAAAUAAUUUUUUGUUUUAUAGUUUAUUUGUAUUGUGAAAGGGAAUUGAAAUAUUAGUGAAAUAAAAUUGUAUUAUUAAAGUAGUUUUAUAGUGUACCUUGUGUAUCAGGGUUUAUUAAUUAAUUAUUAUUUAUGUAGUAAUCCCGAUUUAAUAAGAGUUAAUAUAAUAUUUUAGUUGAUGUGUUAUAAUCAUUAAUUAUAUUAUUAUUGGUAGUGAAAUGUUAUUCGUUUGUUAAGGUAUCUGGUUUUCUAGGAAUUGAAUUUAAUUCAUUUAUUAUUUGUGUAAGUUUUUAUUAUUUAAAAAUUUUAUAAAUUAUAAAAGUGAUAUGGGGGAUAAGCUCUGUGUUAUUGGCUAUAAAAAUUAUUUAAUAUAAAAAUGUGUAGGCUUUAAAUUAGCCUUCUAUUUGAGUAUGUUAUAAUUUAUUUUUUAUAUAAGGGAGAUGAUUUUAUAUAAGAUUUAGUUUUUCUAUUAGAAUAAUUUAUAUAAUUAUUAAGUUUUUGUAAUAAUGAUAGAAUUAGUAUAUAAUAUUAUGUUUGUAAAUUUUAUAAUAGUUAAAUUUAUUAUAAGGAAUUAGGCAAAUUAAUACUCGCCUGUUUAACAAAAACAUGUCUUUUUGAUUUUAAUUUAAAGUCUGGCCUGCCCACUGAAUUUAAUUUGAAGGGCCGCGGUAUUUUGACCGUGCAAAGGUAGCAUAAUCAUUAGUCUUUUAAUUGAAGGCUGGAAUGAAUGGUUUAACGAGGUAUUAACUGUCUCAUACUAAUUUAUGGAAUUUAACUUUUGAGUUAAAAGGCUUAAAUUUUGUUAUAGGACGAGAAGACCCUAUAGAGCUUAAAGUUUAGAUUUAAUUUUCUUUUGGGUGUUUUAUGAAAUUUAUGAGUAUAAAUUUUUAGUUGGGGUGACGUAAAGAUUAAUAUAACUCUUUUUAUAUUUAAACAUUAAUUUAUGGUUUAUUGAUCCAUCAAUGGUGAUUAAAAGAUAAAGUUACCUUAGGGAUAACAGCGUAAUGUUUUUUGAGAGUUCUUAUCGACGAAAAAGAUUGCGACCUCGAUGUUGGAUUAAGGUAUAUAAUUGGGUGUAGAAGUUCAAUUUAUAGGUCUGUUCGACCUUUAAAUCCUUACAUGAUCUGAGUUCAGACCGGCGUGAGCCAGGUCGGUUUCUAUCCUUAAUAUUAGUUAUAAUAUUUUAGUACGAAAGGACCAAAUAUUUGGAAUAUUAAUUCUUUUUCAUUGGAUUUUAUUAAUAAGG
rnacentral:rRNA from 1 species